CCUACGGGAGGCAGCAGUGAGGAAUAUUGGUCAAUGGGCUUACGCCUGAACCAUCCAAGUCGCGUGAGGGAAGACUGCCCUAUGGGUUGUAAACCUCUUUUGUCAGGGAGCAAUUGGCGCUACGUGUAGCGUUAUCGAGAGUACCUGAAGAAAAAGCAUCGGCUAACUCCGUGCCAGCAGCCGCGGUAAUACGGAGGAUGCGAGCGUUAUCCGGAUUUAUUGGGUUUAAAGGGUGCGUAGGCGGAAUGCCAAGUCAGCGGUAAAAUCGCGGGGCUCAACCUCGCUCCGCCGUUGAAACUGGCGUUCUUGAGUGCAGGAGAGGAGAGUGGAAUUCCUAGUGUAGCGGUGAAAUGCGUAGAUAUUAGGAGGAACACCAGUUGCGAAGGCGGCUCUCUGGACUGUAACUGACACUGAGGCACGAAAGCGUGGGGAGCAAACAGGAUUAGAUACCCCUGUAGUC
rnacentral:rRNA from 1 species